rnacentral:rRNA from 1 species
UACGAAGGGGGCUAGCGUUGCUCGGAAUCACUGGGCGUAAAGGGCGCGUAGGCGGCCAUUCAAGUCAGAGGUGAAAGCCCAAGGCUCAACCUUGGAACUGCCUUUGAUACUGGGUAUCUUGAGUAUGGAAGAGGUAAGUGGAAUUGCGAGUGUAGAGGUGAAAUUCGUAGAUAUUCGCAGGAACACCAGUGGCGAAGGCGGCUUACUGGUCCAUAACUGACGCUGAGGUGCGAAAGCGUGGGGAGCAAACAGGG